UCUCAGUCUUCCUGUCAAUCGUUAUCUCAUUUUCACCCCUGUCCUCGUUCUCCAAAGCCACUCCAUUUUGUCUUAGUGUGUCAUUGCAGUCUUCUUCCUUUUCUUAUUUUAAUUGCAUUGUUUAACUUUUUAGAGUCUUAUAUUUUUGCUUGUUUUCAGUUUGUCAUUUCCAUUUUUGCUUCACUUUCACUUCAUGAAUGAAAUAUGCCCACCUGGGAAUCUUUGUGAAAGUCUCAAUUUAUUUAUUUAUUUAUUAUUUAUUUCGCAUGGGAUAUUUUUUAUUUGAAAGUGUGUUAUUUUUGCCAUCACAGACAUGCACAUCAAUUCAAACAUGCUUUUCUUUGAUUAGGUUUUCAUACGCUGGUGGUGGAGAUCUUGAUUUUCCUCGAUGUUUUUAUUUAUUAAUGCACUGCUCUCCAUCAUCCUCUAAAUUCUCUCCCCUCUCUUGUGCUGUUUUUUUUUCUCUCUUUAUCUUCCCUUCCCUUACUUUAACUCCCCCCUACACUCCCUCCCUCUCUGAUCACUUCACGUUUCAGAUAGUGGCCGUGUUGAUGGCUGCUGAAAACAUCGACCGGCUUUGAAGUCUGAUGUUUGCUGCUUGUGUGAGUUUGUCUCGCUCAGCCUGGGGUUUGAAGGACAAUGGACCACACAGCUUCCAAACUACUACUCAGGAAUUACUCGAGGAACAUGACCAAGAGCUCAAAACACUGAACCCAGCCCUCAAUGCCCCCAAAUCCAACAUAAUAUUAGGGAAACGGUUUAAAUGUAGUGGCUGAUCCAUGUUUAGGUACAAGAUAUAUGUGUAUUUUAGGGGGCUCAGCCGGUGAUUGACAUUUGCUAGAUUAUCUUUGCUUUGGCAUACAUCUGUUUAAUGAACUCUCCAGAGUGGAAGAUCAUCGGGAUUAAACACGAGUGAUCAGAGGUAGAAAAACACUCGAGCCUGUCCAAUCUUGUCAGAUCUACGAGGCUGUCAGGGGUGUGGAUUACAUCAUUACCAUGUCGAUACAGAAACGAUGAAAGAAGAAGUUAAAGUGCUUAUUCCAAUCCAAUCACGCCAAACCCCAAGAUCUAUGGGCUGUCACGACUGCGGACUGUUCCACAACAGCUACUAGAUGGAGGUGGAGGGAGGCGGAGAUGGAGUGAGACACGGUGCCAAUCCAAUCUUGUCACAUCUACAAGCUGUCAAGUGCUGGUUACGCUCUAUGACAACCGUAUCAACCGCAUCAGUAUUACGGAGGUGAGGCGAGAAAGAGGAUUAUAUGAUAAGUGUGUCGAUAAUGGAGGCAAAGAGACAAAAACAAGAGGCUUAUUUGCCUUCUGCAUACACGUUGUACUAGCUGUACCUACAUCGACGAAAGAGAAACAUCUAAAACAUGACACAGCUUUGAGAAAACAAAGAGCUUAAAUUCACAAGGGACGCAUAGGAAAUGUCUGAACCUUGCAUACACUUUAAAAUUUCAGCAUUUAAACUUGUUUUGUUUUUUUUUGUUUUCACUGAACGCUUUGAUGUGUUUAAUCUACUCGCAACAACCGCCGUGUUCGUUAUCCCAUUUUUAGCUCUUGGAACUUUGAAGAACCUCUUUUUUCAUAUUUAGCCACAUUAAAACAGAACAGAUGCUUCCACCUCUUCUUUUAAAAGGAGUUUUAUCUACAGCUUACAGAGUUCCGUUCAGACUAAAUUGUUGCUACAGCUGAUUCACCGCAUGUAAAGACUCUUCACAGUUACUACUGAUGUAAUAGAUGCUCUCUCUUUUUAUACAUACAAUGCAGUCAUGCAAGAUUUAUUUCUGCUAGUGUCCUUUCUUUCUUUAGUAUUUUUAUCAUGUUUAGACCUCUGGCAACCGAUCGAUUGAUUUAUUUAUCCGAGUGGCUGGCUGGAUUUGUUGUAUGUUGCAUCAGGUUCAACUAAAAAAAAUCUCUCAGCUUUGCUCGCUUUGAUCUAACAGGCUGCUGCUGAUAAAAUUCACAUUUGGCAGCAAAGUCAUGCAUAUUCAAAGGUUGUUAGUUGUAAAUUUACCCUUACAGAUGUAGUUCAUGUGCAUGAUGUAAUCAGAUAUGCUCGCAUUUGUUAGGAAAUUCCAAGGAAUACAUCUUGUGCGUGCGUUUAAGUAAUGUUCUUUGCAGCAUUUAUGUCAUAAUAUACAGUAUUUUACUUAAUGUUCAAAAAUCUAGCAUUGAAAUGUCAUUAUUUGACAUUGUUUUUAAAGGAUGUUUUAAUAUUAUCUUUUUGUUGUCUUGAGGAGCUGUCACUUUGCAUUUCACUGAACAGACUGUUUGACCAUGUGCCAAAUAAAAACUCUUGAAUCUUGAAAUUUAAUGAGACCUCGCUGUCCAGUAGAGGACGUGAUUUUGUGCUGUGUAUAAAGAGUGGAGAAAAAAAUGUAAAAAAAAAAAAAAAUCUCCACAAAGCUA